rnacentral:lncRNA from 1 species
UUCUUGUCGCUGCAACUCUAAAUCCGAAAGCCCCGAUUCUCCCGACGCGUAUGAAACCCCUUACCUCGCUUUACCCUAGCCAGUAGUUUAAUAAGAAGUUGUUGUUAGUUUGUUUUUUUCUCUAGUUUGAGAUCCAAGCAGUACCACCCAGACCUACCCCUUACACUCUUGAAGGCCGUCACCGCCUACAAUCGCCAACCACCAGUGCGACCUCCCAUCCGAUGGCGACCCCAUCAACUGCUGCCUCAACCACCGUGGAGUAACAAAUCGAGGAUCUCUUCCUUGAUGACAAUGAAGAAGAGGAGAUGCAUCUCGUUCAAUUGGUGCCGACUACCCCACCAUGGGAGUAUGAACUCUGUGUCGUCAGCUCCUUCCUCACGAAGAGGAAGAUUGAUUUCCAAGCUAUGUCCAAGAAACUGUCCCAACUUUGGGAAGCAGGACGCGAAGUGGAAAUCGAUGACCUAGGUAUCUGUUUAAUUCACUUUCGUUUUUUUUUUCACGAGCACGACGUCCGUAAUAUGAUUGAUUUAUGUCCCUGGAAUUACGACGGCCACUCUUGGUCGUACACAAGCUCAGUCAUGGUGAAAAUCCACGGCAAGUGCCUCUCAAUAAAGCAACAUUUUGGAUCUAAGCUCAUGAUAUAUAAUUCAGGUACUUUUUUGAGGCUGUCGGAAAAGUUUUGGUAGAUUUCGUCAGUGAAUUCAUCCACUAUGAUGAGAAGAAUGCUAUCAAGCUCACAUUGCAUGGAGCAAAUGACGUACAAGUAGACCAGCCAUCAACGACCCACCUAUCGAGAUGAACAAGUCAAGCCCCAUAAAGUUUAGGCCCCUUGUGCGGAUGAAGGCACAUGCUCUUGCUUUGAUUUUCUUGGAGUCUUCUGUUUAAUGCAAUUUCUUUUUUACUCUUGAUUAUGUUUUGUUGGGUCUCGCUACUGUGUCCUACAGUAGCUUUUUGUUUUCAGCGUCGGUUUGGGUUUUAUUUUGUUAGGAAAGUAUGAAAUUGAGUUGAC